rnacentral:rRNA from 1 species
UACGUAGGCAGCGAGCGUUGUUCGGAGUUACUGGGCGUAAAGGGUGCGUAGGCGGACGGCUUUGUCGGGCGUGAAAUUCCAGGGCUCAACCUUGGGGCUGCGUUCGAGACGGGUUGUCUAGAGUUUGGGAGAGGGUCGUGGAAUUCCCAGUGUAGCGGUGAAAUGCGUAGAUAUCGGGAGGAACACCUGUGGCGAAAGCGGCUCACUGGACCAUUACUGACGCUGAUGCUCGAAAGCUAGGGGAGCAAACAGG